UUAAAGUAGUAAGGGCGCAGGGUGGAUGCCUUGGCACUAAGAGCCGAUGAAAGACGUGAUAAGCUGCGAAAAGCUUCGGGGAGGAGCACAUAUCCAAUGAUCCGGAGAUAUCUGAAUGGGGAAACCCGGCAGAGGAAACCUCUGUCAGCGUGCAGUGAAUACAUAGCUGUACGUGGGGAACCCGGGGAACUGAAACAUCUAAGUACCCGGAGGAAGAGAAAGAAAAUUUAUCGAUUUCCAAAGUAGCGGCGAGCGAAAUGGAAAGAGCCCAAACCGUGAUGCGUGCAUCGCGGGGUUCGGACUGCGUUGUGGCAGACGUAAGAUAGGAGAACGGACUGGGAAGUCCGGCCGGAGAGAGUGAAAGCCUCGUAUCCGAAAUCCCAAGUCGCCUAGCAGGAUCCAGAGUAGGACGAGACACGAGAAACCUUGUCUGAACGAGCGGGGACCACCCCGUAAGGCUAAAUACUUCUUAGUGACCGAUAGCGCAUAGUACUGUGAAGGAAAGGUGAAAAGUACCCCGGGAGGGGAGUGAAAGAGAACCUGAAACCCUGUGUCUACAAGCUGUGGGACCUCUUUAUAUGAGGGACUGCGUACUUUUUGUAGAACGGUCCGGCGAGUUGUGCGUACUGGCGAGGUUAAGGACUUAAGGUCUGGAGCCGAAGUGAAAGCAAGCGUUAAUAGCGCGUCAAGUCAGUGAGUGCAGACCCGAAACCGGGUGACCUAUCCAUGUCCAGGUUGAAGCUUCCGUAAGAGGAAGUGGAGGACCGAACCCACAUCCGUUGAAAAGGGUGGGGAUGAGGUGUGGAUAGCGGAGAAAUUCCAAUCGAACCCGGAGAUAGCUGGUUCUCCUCGAAAUAGCUUUAGGGCUAGCCUCAUGAGAGUCUUAUGGAGGUAGAGCACUGAAUUGCCUAGGGGGCGUCAAAGCUUACCAAAGCAUAUCAAACUCCGAAUGCCAUCAAGAUGAUUCAUGGGAGUCAGACCAUACGAGAUAAGUUGGAUGGUCAAAAGGGAAAGAGCCCAGACCUACAGCUAAGGUCCCAAAGUACGUGUUAAGUGGAAAAGGAUGUGGGGAUUCUAAGACAACUAGGACGUUGGCUUAGAAGCAGCCAUUCAUUGAAAGAGUGCGUAAUAGCUCACUAGUCGAGAGUCCCUGCGCCGAAAAUGUCCGGGGCUGAAACACGACACCGAAGCUUAGGAAUGUGUAAACAUUGGUAGAGGAGCAUUGCUGGCGGGAUGAAGCCAUACCGUAAGGAGUGGUGGACUGCCAGGAAGAGAGAAUGCCGGAAUGAGUAGCGAGAUGAAGGUGAGAAUCCUUCAGGCCGAAUAUCUAAGGUUUCCAGAGUAAAGCUGAUCUGCUCUGGGUAAGUCGGGACCUAAGGCGAGGUCGAAAGACGUAGUCGAUGGAUAACAGGUUGAAAUUCCUGUACCGCAUAUAAACAGAACUGUGGGGACACAGACAGGGAAUGGAAUCCGGGAGUGGAUAUCCCGGUGCAAGCGAGGUAGGAGUGCUGUUGGCAAAUCCGCAGCACGAUCUGAAGACGUGACGCGUACCGAACAUAAGUAGGGAAGUCCAGGCCCCUGGCUGUCAAGAAAAGCCGCUAUUGUUUUAUAUGUGCCCGUACCGCAAACCGACACAGGUGGAUGAGGAGAGAAUCCUAAGGCCGACGGGAGAAGUAUUGUUAAGGAACUCGGCAAAAUGACUCCGUAACUUCGGGAGAAGGAGUGCCAUGAGAGUGGCCGCAGAGAAAUGGCCCAAGCAACUGUUUAGCAAAAACACAGGUCUAUGCAAAACCGCAAGGUGAAGUAUAUGGGCUGACGCCUGCCCGGUGCUGGAAGGUUAAGGGGAGAGGUUAGCGCAAGCGAAGCUUUGAACUUAAGCCCCAGUAAACGGCGGCCGUAACUAUAACGGUCCUAAGGUAGCGAAAUUCCUUGUCGGGU
rnacentral:rRNA from 1 species